UACGGAGGAUGCAAGCGUUAUCCGGAAUUAUUGGGCGUAAAGCGUCCGCAGGUGGUUGAACAAGUCUGCUGUCAAAGCGUGCGGCUUAACCGCAUAAGGGCAGUGGAAACUGUUGAACUAGAGUUCGGUAGGGGUCACGGGAAUUCCCAGUGUAGCGGUGAAAUGCGUAGAUAUUGGGAAGAACACCAGCGGCGAAAGCGCGUGACUGGGCCUGAACUGACACUGAGGGACGAAAGCUAGGGGAG
rnacentral:rRNA from 1 species